GCCUUGAAUCUUUUUUACCUCAUUUAACUAUUUACAUAUAUGCCAGACGGUUCAUACUAAUCUGAAUAUAAUUAUCUGUAUACACAUAACAUAGUAACAUACAAAUAUAUAACAAAUAGGUUCAGAGUUAAAGUAGUUGUUUUAGGAAACAUCAAAUAGAAAUGCGAUCUUGUGUUCAUUGGCAACUAACAACUUGUUAUUUGUUGGUUCGAAAUGCAAUGCACAUGGAUUACUAAGGCCAUCACGAGAGGACAAUAUUGUUCUGCAACAGUUUCCAUCAGGGGUUGAAAUGAUGACAACGCUGUUUUUAUCCCUACUGGCCACAUACACGAUUCCAUUGUUGUCUACAGAUAUAGCCUGUGGACUUUGCAGAAUUUGUGUAUCCUUAAAUUCCCAUUUUAGAUUUCCA
rnacentral:lncRNA from 1 species